rnacentral:rRNA from 1 species
UGGGGAAUUUUGCGCAAUGGGGGAAACCCUGACGCAGCAACGCCGCGUGAGUGAUGAAGGCCUUCGGGUCGUAAAGCUCUGUCAGAGGGAAAGAAAUGCAGUGGUGCUAAUAUCAUCAUUGCUUGACGGUACCCUCAAAGGAAGCACCGGCUAACUCCGUGCCAGCAGCCGCGGUAAUACGGAGGGUGCAAGCGUUGUUCGGAUUUAUUGGGCGUAAAGCGCGUGUAGGCGGUUUCUUAAGUCUGAUGUGAAAGCCCUGGGCUCAACCCAGGAAGUGCAUUGGAUACUGGGAGACUUGAAUACGGGAGAGGGCAGUGGAAUUCCUAGUGUAGGAGUGAAAUCCGUAGAUAUUAGGAGGAACACCGGUGGCGAAGGCGGCUGCCUGGACCGAUAUUGACGCUGAGACGCGAAAGCGUGGGGAGCAAACA